rnacentral:lncRNA from 1 species
ACAUAUCAACAAGCUUCCAGAUAACUAUGCAUAGAUAGGCAUGCGGGGGAUCUAUCAGAUGGCUGAGCCACGUCGCGGAAAGGCCAGUUUUGAAUAUUUACUCUCAGACGUCCUUGGAAGAAGCUAUUAGCCCAGAUGGCCAUGGAUGCUGAAACAAAGGAAGAUGUGCUAAGAAGCUUUCCUAUUACAGAUCCAGUUUGCUGCCAGCCUCUCCUAACAGGCUUAGUCAACACACUCCAUGGGGAGAGGCCUUCAUCUCUGAUGCAGAAGCCAUGACUGCUACUGUGUGGAAGUUUUCCCAUUUCUACUGUGGGAGGUCUUUCACCUAAAGAAGUCUCUAGAAAGAGACAUUUGUUUCUCUCCAAGUGAUUUUUCUAAACGUCAGUGACAAGAAUGAAGUAGCACCCUAGUCAGUCUGGAAAGCAUAAUGGGAUGGCUUUGAGAAGGUUGCCCUCUGCAUACAGUACAGGAAGCACCUGCCUGAGGAAACAAGAUGGCCAGAAGAAACAAGCCCCAUGGAGAGAUGACUGCAUGAACUGUUGAUUCCCUGUGACCUUGUACCAAGACUUAAUUAGGGCUCUCUGAACUCAGUUAAUGGCUUUAACUGUCAUUUAGGGAAAACAGUACUGAAUAAAAACAACAAAGGUUG